rnacentral:tRNA from 1 species
GCAGCAGUAGUUCAGUUGGUAGAACGUCUGCUUCCCAAGCAGAAGGCCGCCAGUUCGAGUCUGGUCUGCUGCU